CCUACGGGCGGCAGCAGUGAGGAAUAUUGGUCAAUGGACGAGAGUCUGAACCAGCCAAGUAGCGUGAAGGAUGACUGCCCUAUGGGUUGUAAACUUCUUUUAUAUGGGAAUAAAAUGUUCCACGUGUGGGAUUUUGUAUGUACCAUAUGAAUAAGGAUCGGCUAACUCCGUUCCAGCAGCCGCUGUAAUACGGAGGAUCCGAGCGUUAUCCGGAUUUAUUGGGUUUAAAGGGAGCGUAGGUGGAUUGUUAAGUCAGUUGUGAAAGUUUGUGGCUCAACCGUAAAAUUGCAGUUGAAACUGGCAGUCUUGAGUACAGUAGAGGUGGGCGGAAUUCGUGGUGUAGCGGUGAAAUGCUUAGAUAUCACGAAGAACUCCGAUUGCGAAGGCAGUUCACUGGACUGCAACUGACACUGAGGCUCGAAAGUGUGGGUAUCAAACAGGAUUAGAUACCCCUGUAGUC
rnacentral:rRNA from 1 species